GUACUCUUAAGUCUCGUUUCCACCAAGCAGUCUGGUUCAUUUCGGUUUGGUACGGUACACAUUUAUUGGCGUUUCCACCAUGUCAGAAGUUGGGAAUGGUACCAAAACAAGGGAUCCGUACCGAUCCUUAAAUAACAUCUUAUCAGAUAAUUUUCUUACACACGGUCAGGUCUGUUUUUAGGAACCUUUAUAGUCUAAUUUUAAGGUAUCCUUGUGUUUUUUUUCCAUGGACAAAUGUUUAGGUUUGUCUUUAGAUCCCCUAAACCAGCUGCUUUAAGUUUCCCUUUGGCCAUUCUUUGAAAGAACAAGGUAUACUUGAGCUUCAGUUUGAAGAUACUUAUGCCUGUUUUAUUUUUAUGAAUCGAGUCUGUUUUAAAGAAAACUUUAUUGUUCGUUACUUGCCUUCUUUCUCUUGGUACAAUCUGUCCAAAUGUCCUUGUUUUAAACUUUCAGAGGUUCAGAAUGAAUGUUUCCAAUUGCUGAUCUGCUUGAGUCCUGCUACCUGCUGGCUGGAUGUGAAUGAAUUAAAUUACC